UUCACCAUUGCCGCGUCGUCGAGCGUCGCUCCGAGAGCCGCGUACCUUGCCGCCAUGCCGCUGAUCCUCCCGGCGUACGCGUCCAGCUCGUCACCGCACUCCAUGCGCAGGCGAUCGAACUCGCCGCGGAGAGUGGCUAGCCGCGCCGCCCUCACCCGAUCCGCGCCGACGAACCUCGUCUUGAGGCUCGCCCACAGCUCUGCCGCCGUCUUCUUCGAUGACACCUGCAGCAGGAUGUCUUCGGAGAGCGCUCAGAGGAGGUAUGCCCUCACCGGCUUGUCCUUCUUCGCGAUGACCGCCGCCGCCGAGUCCUCCGCCGGAACCACCGCUUCCCACAGCCCUUGCGCGUCGAGGUUCGCCUCCACCUUGAUCGCCCACACGGUGUAGUUAUCACCGGUGAGCAUC
rnacentral:lncRNA from 1 species